UAUACAUGUAAUUGCAUAUAAGAAAUUGGGAAUUACUUUCUUGUGCGGAUUACUUUUUAAUAUUUUGUAUGUACUGUGGACAAUAGGCCAGAAAAUGGUGUGAAAUUUUGAUCAAACAGCAUUUGUCAUGCAUAUCUGCUACUGAGUAUAUGCAAUGCGUAAUGACGUCGAGCAAUUAUUAAUGUUCAUUAUUCAUUCAUUAUAUAACUGUCUUUUGGAUGUACUACAACUCAUUUCGUUUGAGUAACCGUGCUACGAAUGCUACGAAUUAAAACAUCACAAAGCACGUCGAAGAUUCUAAAGAACAUAUCUAGCAUAUAAGGUAAUCAAUAUUAUUUAUUAUGUUUUUUCCAAAUACUAGAAUAUGGUACAAUGCAAUAUAUAUUUAUAAAAGGUCACCAAAGGGCAAAUACAUGGCGAUGACAUGGGGCUUUAUCAUAUAUAAUUUUUCUGAUCAAUUCUAUCAUAAUCUUGACUUAACAUUAUGGGCAAACAAGAAGUCAAAAUGACUUAUAUCGUGGUUUUUCCCAAAUACUAGAAGAUAGUAUAUUAUACAAUAAAUAUUUCUAAAAGGUCACCAAAGGGCGAAUACAUGGCGAUGUAAAUGUAUCAAAAUUCGUAGGCUACAGUUAAUCGUCGAUUGUCUUAUAAAUUACGCGCAGCAUAUCUAAACUAUAAUAUGCGCUUAUGAGCUUUUUGAGACGACGUUUAAAAUGUGGCAGCUUUUAUAUUUUAUGCAUGUGGAAUAAAAAUUGUCGUAUAUCGUACUUCUCUUUUAUAGUCUAUAACCGAUAGAGAAUUUUGCAUCACUCGAAUAUGCGUUUAUAAUACGAAAGACCAGAAGACAGUUGUACCAGCUGUUCUGUUAAAUUGUAUAUAUAUAAAAUUAUUACUACAAAAUACGCGAUUUUAGCACUAACAAUAGUGAACUAAAAUUUACACAGGUAACUAUACCUUUUUAUAUAACCAGAUCUAAUGGAUUUACGAACAUAACAUAUAGAAUAACUGUCUUGACAACUGGUAUAAAUAAUAGUUUACAUCCGUUAUUAUAUAAUCAAUACUUUUAUCAAGAAUGAAUCUAUUUAUCGGUUCUAUAUUGACAUAGCCGUAUCGAUGUGAGAUCGGUAAAAUCUCAAACAUUUAAAAAAAUAUCUUAAAACCUAAAAAGCCCCAGAAAUUACCAGAAUUCAAAAACAAAUUAAAAAUUCAAAGUUGCAUGAUUUCUAGAUAAAAUGCAUAAAAUGUUUACAAAAUCUUGAAGUAAAAUGGAAAAAUUUAAAGCAAAUCACUAUCCCAUAUAGCCUGCGCGCAGUCCCAAACUCCCAAAGUCUGAGACUGCGCGCAGGCUAUAUCCCCGCGUUUUCCGUUUUUCAACUCGUAUCUAAGAGAUUAUUUCCUGUCCAGGGAAGCUUAUAGCCGCUUUUGUAUAAAUUAGUAAUUAGUUUGCAGGUAGGAGGAUAUAUUAAUUGGAAAGCAAAUUACACGAAUAUUUUUUUUCAAAAACUGCUUAUCCGAAGUGACGAGAAUUCAAUUUACAGCUUAUUGAAAAUGAUUCAUAAGGUUCUGACACAAUUAAAGUGAUGUAGAUUUCAAAUCAGAUAAGAUAUAUAUAGACCUAAUUAACACAUUUAUAUAUACAACUGUAUAAAUGUACUUAUACAACAUCUGCGGCCAGAUUAAUAUUACAAACGUGGAUGCAGUCCAGGUAGGUAUUCUAAAAAACUGCCGUGGUUUUAGUCUGAACUGCCUGCGGAAAAAAACGAUCACAUGUAAACCUGAAGGUUUAAUGUAGGUAUAGAGUAUUCUCCAAAGUAAAAGGACAUGGAAAAUUUCUUUUGUAUCAAUGUUAUUAUAGCAUGCAUGUAUAUUUACUUUUUUUGCAGGUAACCAAAAAUAAUUUGCAGUUAGCCCUGCGGCUGCGAGCGAAGUGAACAGCCGGAGUAGGUUUUGGACCGCGUAUAGCCUUGAGACUUGCCACUGGGGGAAACGUUUUGAUCAAUUGGGCGUGAGAAAGUCAAUUUUGGCAAUAGGAAAUAUAACUCAGAGCUGUUAAGGUUUAAGAUUUUUUAUAAAUGAAAUUUGACCACAGAACAGAAAAAUAGUCAGACCACACAAUGUUUGAAAGAACAUUCUAAUGUUCUGGAAAAAAGACACCUAUUUUACACCCGUUUUCAAAAUUACGCGACCAGGCCGAAAAUAGAGUUUAUGUCAUAGGGUCACGAAGUUUAAAUUGUUUCCAACUUUGAGUUUUACGGUUCGUUAUCGAUUUAUAUGCUUUGUAUGCUUUAUAUAAAAAGGUUUAGAAGGAUUUCAAUAUGUUUGAUGCGAA